rnacentral:lncRNA from 1 species
UUGUAAGUUAGAAAAUUAAUUAAUGAUAGUUUCUUCUUCUUAUUCUUCUUCUUCUUCUUUUUUCUUUUUUUCUUUUUGUCAUCUUAUCUUUUUCUUCUUUUUCGUUUGAUUAUUUUGUUAAUCAAAAGUGGUGAGGGAAUACAGGAUUAAUGGGAAUUAUGUUGUUAGUCACUGGUCAGAAGGUUGUUGGUAAGUAACUGUCAAUGUG